rnacentral:lncRNA from 1 species
ACUGCGGCCCCGCCCGCGGCUCUGGGCUGCGGGCCCCGGGGACGCCGCCCGGUCCCCCGGGUCGGCCACCCGCCCCGCCAGGGUGUGUGGAAGGCGUCGGGAGUCGGGAUUCUCCGACUGGGCGGGGGAUGCUGCCUUUCUGACCCUGUCAGGCAAUGGGGUCUUCGCGUGCUGGGCGCCCCCUUAGUGGGCGAUGUUGAUGAGAACCAGGAUGAGCUUGCUGAGCAGCUGUUUGCCAAAGCGAAGGUCAUGAGGGACUUGGACUGCUUUCACACCUUCAACCCAAAACCAUGAACUCUGCCCACCUAGUUGUGUUUUUUUUUUCCUAGAUUAUUUGCCUUUGAUGCUUCUUAAUAAAUAAAACUAUAUGUUUCAAUAGUACAAAU